rnacentral:rRNA from 1 species
UACAGAGGUGGCAAGCGUUGUUCGGAAUUACUGGGCGUAAAGGGCGCGUAGGCGGCCUUGUCAGUCAGACGUGAAAUCCCCAGGCUUAACCUGGGAACUGCGUCUGAUACUACAAGGCUUGAGUUCGGGAGAGGAAUGUGGAAUUCCAGGUGUAACGGUGAAAUGCGUAGAUAUCUGGAGGAACACCGGUGGCGAAGGCGGCAUUCUGGACCGAAACUGACGCUGAGGCGCGAAAGCCAGGGGAGCAAACGGG